CUUUCAGUAAGGGAUCGUACCCGAAACCGACACAGGUGGUCAGGUCGAGAAGACUAAGGCGCUUGAGAGAACUCUGCUGAAGGAACUAGGCAAAAUAGUACCGUAACUUCGGGAGAAGGUACGCUGUUGAUGGUGAAGGAUUUACUCCGUAAGCUAUCGGCAGCCUCAGAAACUAGGCCGCUGCAACUGUUUAUUAAAAACACAGCACUCUGCAAACACGAAAGUGGACGUAUAGGGUGUGAUGCCUGCCCGGUGCUGGAAGGUUAAUUGAUGGGGUUAGCGAAAGCGAAGCUCUUGAUCGAAGCCCCAGUAAACGGCGGCCGUAACAAUAACGGUCCUAAGGUAGCGAAAUUCCUUGUCGGGUAAGUUCCGACCUGCACGAAUGGCAUAAUGAUGGCGGCGCUGUCUCCAGCAGAGACUCAGUGAAAUCGAAAUCGCGGUGAAGAUGCCGUGUACCCGCGGCUAGACGGAAAGACCCCGUGAACCUUUACUGCAGCUUUGCAUUGAACUUUGACCUUACUUGUGUAGGAUAGGUGGGAGGCUUUGAAGCUCGGACGCCAGUUCGAGUGGAGCCAUCCUUGAAAUACCACCCUGGUAAUGUCGAGGUUCUAACCCAGAUCCGUUAUCCGGAUCGGGGACAGUGUAUGGUGGGUAGUUUGACUGGGGCGGUCUCCUCCUAAAGAGUAACGGAGGAGUACGAAGGUGCGCUCAGCGUGGUCGGAAAUCACGCAAUGAGUAUAAAGGCAAAAGCGCGCUUAACUGCGAGACCGACAAGUCGAGCAGUACGAAAGUAGGUCUUAGUGAUCCGGUGGUUCUGUAUGGAAGGGCCAUCGCUCAACGGAUAAAAGGUACUCUGGGGAUAACAGGCUGAUACCGCCCAAGAGUUCACAUCGACGGCGGUGUUUGGCACCUCGAUGUCGGCUCAUCUCGUCCUGGGGCUGAAGCAGGUCCCAAGGGUAUGGCUGUUCGCCAUUUAAAGAGGUACGCGAGCUGGGUUUAGAACGUCGUGAGACAGUUCGGUCCCUAUCUACCGUGGGCGUUGGAGACUUGAGAGGAUCUGCUUCUAGUACGAGAGGACCGAAGUGGACGUACCUCUGGUGUUCGGGUUGUCACGCCAGUGGCACUGCCCGGUAGCUAUGUACGGACGGGAUAACCGCUGAAAGCAUCUAAGCGGGAAGCCUACCUUAAGAUAAGGUCUCCCUGGGGGUUUAACCCCCCUAAAGAGCCGUUAGAGACCAUGACGUUGAUAGGUUCG
rnacentral:rRNA from 1 species